UACGUAGGUGGCGAGCGUUGUCCGGAUUUACUGGGCGUAAAGAGCGCGCAGGCGGUCAAGUCAGUCGAAUGUGAAAGCCCCCGGCUCAACUGGGGAGGGUCAUUCGAUACUGCUCGACUUGAAGGCAGGAGAGGGAAGUGGAAUUCCCGGUGUAGUGGUGAAAUGCGUAGAUAUCGGGAGGAACACCAGUGGCGAAGGCGACUUUCUGGCCUGUUCUUGACGCUGAGGCGCGAAAGCUAGGGGAGCAAACGGG
rnacentral:rRNA from 1 species